AGGUCCACCGGGGCCAGGCGGUGACUCAGAAAGCAGCUGUGUAGAUAACCGCUGACUCAGUUAUAAAUUCCUCAACUCCCUCGGCAGGACUGGGUUUGAAGGAUAGGUGACUCACAGACUGACCCUCUCUUUGCUCUGGUAUUUCCAAGGGUUAUCUUUAGAUCUCCAGGUCAUCCCAACCUCUGGGACACCCCUGGUCUGGAGGCCAAGCCAGCCAUGUUGAUGUUCUCAGCCUACACUUGGUUUACUCACUGGGAUUUCUGUUUCAGCAGCCUCUCUGUUCUAGUUGUGUAUCCACUACACACAUUUUCAGUUGGCAUCUACAAUGCCUCGGCUCCAUGCUGGGCACUGAAGACAUAGCAAUGCAUCAGAAAUGAUCCCUGCCCUGGAGGAGCUGCAAUCGCCUUUUGGUGACUGUUUCUGACUCACUUUAUGUGGAAGUUGGUUCAAUCAGGAAAGAGACACCUCUUUGGAACCCCAUCUCUCACCCAGGGGUCCACACUCUGGUGGUGACUGGUUGGCUCCCUAGUUCCCUGGUCUGACCUGAGCAGCCGGAUCUUCUCCUAUGUACCUGCUUCAUUUUUCCUGUUGCUUGAAGAGAUGUAUUCCCAGCGGCUAUGCAGCCCUUGACUUGGAUGACCAAGUGAAUGAGUAAUAAAUAUGAAGUCCAAGUUAAGCAAAUACAAAGCCUGGAAGUGUGUGGGAGGCUGCCUGGGGUCCAAAGCUGACAGGAGCAAGCAAACAAGGAAAAAAGAACACUGCUGGAUUACAUAGGGUCCAGCAUCACAACCCUUGAGAGUCCAAGCAAUACUCUAAAAGGCCCAGGCCUCUGCCUCAGUGACAACUCAUCAACGUGCCAUUUCUGCAAAAAGGAAAAUGGACCUGCUGUUUCUUGCUGUUAUUUUCUGAAAAGUCAGUGCCCAGAUGCCAAGCCUAGAACCUUGCUGUGCACUCAGGAAACCAUUAUUGCCAGCCUCUACAGACCCUCAGGAAUGAGCUCUGCUUGCAACAGCCUUCUCCUGGCAAGAGUUAAUACUAAGGUGCAGCUGAAGGAAUGUGAAGACUGGAAAGCCAGCUUGGGGGAUUGCUAUUGCAAUCAGAAGACAGCCCAAGUCAGAGUUCCAAAGCCCUUUGAAGGUAUGCCAG
rnacentral:lncRNA from 10 species